UCUGGUAAUUGUGGGAAAGCCGCCGCGGUAAUACGUAGGGGGCAAGCGUUAUCCGGAUUUACUGGGUGUAAAGGGAGCGUAGACGGACUGGCAAGUCUGAUGUGAAAGGCGGGGGCUCAACCCCUGGACUGCAUUGGAAACUGUUAGUCUUGAGUGCCGGAGAGGUAAGCGGAAUUCCUAGUGUAGCGGUGAAAUGCGUAGAUAUUAGGAGGAACACCAGUGGCGAAGGCGGCUUACUGGACGGUAACUGACGUUGAGGCUCGAAAGCGUGGGGAGCAAACAGG
rnacentral:rRNA from 1 species